GAUGAACGCUGGCGGCGUGCCUAAUACAUGCAAGUCGAACGCAUUGUGGUUGAAAUGAUAUGAAGAACUUGUUCAGAUUUGAUUUUCAACAUUGCAAUGAGUGGCGAACGGGUGAGUAACACGUGGGAAACCUACCUCUUAGCAGGGGAUAACAUUUGGAAACAAAUGCUAAUACCGUAUAAUAAUUAAAACCGCAUGGUUUUAGUUUAAAAGAUGGUCUUGCUAUCACUAAGAGAUGGUCCCGCGGUGUAUUAGUUAGUUGGUGAGGUAAUGGCUCACCAAGACAAUGAUACAUAGCCGAGUUGAGAGACUGACCGGCCACAAUGGGACUGAGACACGGCCCAUACUCCUACGGGAGGCAGCAGUAGGGAAUCUUCCACAAUGGACGAAAGUCUGAUGGAGCAACGCCGCGUGUGUGAUGAAGGGUUUCGGCGUCGUAAAACACUGUUGUAAGAGAGAAUGACAUUGAGAGUAACUGUUCAAUGUGUG
rnacentral:rRNA from 1 species